GUGAAAAUGUUGAAAUAAAAAUACUGAUUUAUGUGGCAUGAUUUUCACAUUAACCGCAACAAAUCCUACUCCAAUAGGUCCUACUGAAUAU
ensembl:snoRNA snoRNA:Or-CD9b